rnacentral:rRNA from 1 species
UACGUAGGGGGGCAAGCGUUUGUCCGGAAUCAUUGGGCGUAAAGCGCGUGUAGGCGGUUCGAUGAGUCUGCUGUGAAAGUCCAGGGCUCAACCCUGGGAUGCCGGUGGAUACUGUCGGGCUAGAGUGCGGAAGAGGCGAGUGGAAUUCCCGGUGUAGCUGGUGAAAUGCGCAGAUAUCGGGAGGAACACCAAUUGCGAAGGCAGCUCGCUGGGACGUCACUGACGCUGAGACGCGAAAAGCGUGGGGGAGCAAACAGG